UGCAAACCCUGUGUUUUUCUCUUGGAAACCCACUCUAGAGCCUUCAAUCCCAGCGAAGAACCAGCCUCCUAUUCUCGCUAAAUCCAAAUCCAAAGCCUUCAUUCCUAGCAAAUAACUAACUCUUCAUCCCUGCCACAUCCAAAUCCAAAGCCUUCAAUCCUAGGUCCCAACGAAUUCUAUUUUAUUCCCUAUCCGUGAUUCUUCCCCGGAAUCUGUUUCUUCCAUAUCCGCGAUUAUGUGGAAACCCUUUCAUUCUCUGUGACUCACUCCAAGACUCCUCUAGAAGCAUCUCCAUAGUCUCCUGAUUCAACUCCAGCAACUUCCACGAAUCUGAUAACACACUUGUACAAGAGCUUCAGCAAUCACUUGAAAACCAACCUAAAAGCAACAAAAAGGUUAUCCAUAGGGACAACAGAAGCAAUAGCAUUGGCAAAUGAUUUUUACGCUACUAAAUAGUUUCUCAUGGUUUUGGCCAUGCGUAGCAGAGGAAGAAAGCAAUAAAGAAAGACGCUUAGAGAUAAAUUUUCAUAUUGUAUCAAAUUUUUAACUAUUUUUAUUUUAAAAUUUAAUAUUGCUAUCAUUACAUGAAUUGGUUUUAUGUACUAGCCAUGUUCAAAACAGUUGAAGAUUGUGGCUAACAUUAAUUUUAGUUUAUGUGGUUAAUCGAAAGAUUUUGAAGUUA